rnacentral:rRNA from 1 species
UACGUAGGGUGCAAGCGUUAAUCGGAAUUACUGGGCGUAAAGCGUGCGCAGGCGGUUAUGCAAGACCGAUGUGAAAUCCCCGGGCUUAAACUGGGAAUUGCAUUAGUGACUGCAUGGCUAGAGUGUGUCAGAGGGGGGUAGAAUUCCACGUGUAGCAGUGAAAUGCGUAGAGAUGUGGAGGAAUACCGAUGGCGAAGGCAGCCCCCUGGGAUAACACUGACGCUCAUGCACGAAAGCGUGGGGAGCAAACAGG